rnacentral:rRNA from 1 species
UGGCAGUGCGUCUUAAGCAUGCAAGUCAAACGGAAUGUAGCAAUACAUCUAGUGGCGAACGGGUGAGUAACGCGUGGAUGAUCUACCUACGAGAUGGGGAUAACUAUUAGAAAUAGUAGCUAAUACCGAAUAAGGUCAAUUAAUUUGUUAAUUGAUGAAAGGAAGCCUUUAAAGCUUCGCUUGUAGAUGAGUCUGCGUCUUAUUAGCUAGUUGGUAGGGUAAAUGCCUACCAAGGCGAUGAUAAGUAACCGGCCUGAGAGGGUGAACGGUCACACUGGAACUGAGAUACGGUCCAGACUCCUACGGGAGGCAGCAGCUAAGAAUCUUCCGCAAUGGG